rnacentral:lncRNA from 1 species
UUUUUCUUAUAUGGAGGUGGGUGCAAGUGGUACCUAUAUAUAUCAUGGCAUGGUAUCAGAAGAUAUCUUCUUGCAUAUACCUUCUGGAUUUUGGGGCUGCAGCGGGAACGAGUUUGUACUAGGACAGUGAUGGUUAACAUCUUCUGGCGUUGACGGGUAGGCUGAUACAAUUUUGUUGUUUUUAUUGGUAUUGGGGUAGACUUUGGAGUUUUAUAUGUAUAUAUAUGGCCUUCGUUCUAUGGGCAUUGUUUGUUUUAUUCAUAAUCGGACUUUGAUCUCGAAUAGAAUAUUCUCAGCAGUCCUUUCUUCUGUGAAUUUCAUUUUCAUAUGAUGUUCUCCUACUUGCAAUGAAACCUGAUGUCAAUAAGCUUUUGUUUGUUGCAUCAUUCACUCCUCUCCGUCCAAUGACAUGCUCACCAGUAAUUGUGGGAUAAGCUACGUAGCACAUAUUGCUCUUGUUAUGCUUCUCUCUGUUUUGCUAGCAGAAGACUUGCUUCUGUUAAUGCUGGUCCAUUUUUAAAGUUAAUUUUAUAUGUUUAUUUGAGGACAUCUUGCAUUUUUCGGUUAUAUUCCAUGAUUUUAUAUGUUAAUUUUGUAUGGUUACUUCCAUGAUAUGUUGAAUACUAUUUGCCAAGUGUUGCAUAUCAAGUAUAAAGGUCUGAAUAUCUGACACUAAACUAAAUCUGAGAAAUACAAGUCUGAAUAGAAUUUUAGAAAAGUGCUAAAGAUAUCUGUGGAUGGAUCAUAUAUUAAGGCCUUCAAGGUCUACUACAUGAUACAACUGUUGCAACUUUUGACUUUAAUGAAAAUUUUCAAGUAAUUUUAACUUACAUACACCAUUUAACUAGUACAUGAAAUAAGUGGGACAAUUUUGUUUUUGUGAGUAGUUGUUGUCCUAUUUAUUGGCAAUAUAAUGCAGUACAUUUUUUUUUCCUUUUCUGUGGAACAUUUACUCUGAUGACAAACUUGUGAUCCUCAUAUGUACUCUUAGUUUGUCUCUGUUAUAUAUUUCUAUUAUGUAUAUAUGUAUUCGUAUGUAUAAAUGUAUAUAUAUUUGUCCACGGAAUUAUGCUUUGCUGAUAUGCUACUGCUGUUAAUCAUGUUAAGUUUGUUUAUUUUGCUUGUUCUAUGUUCACAGAAGGAUGUUGGACCUUUCUUUCUAUUCACUAGGCAAGCUUCUAAGGGAGAAUGAGUACAGAUAGAUUACAUACAUAUGAGGAAUCAAUUUAAGUGGAUAAUAAUGGAGGAAAAAGAGAUGCUUACAAGUUACAAGCAGUAAGUUAGGACAUGGUUCUCUUCAUGACAAAGGAGGAAAAAGUUAAAUUGCACAAACUGGAAUCACUCGGUCAACCCCAAAUAGCUGAGACUUAAACCUAUAAGUAAAUUAAGAUCUAUUAAAAAAUUAAAUGAAAGUCAUACAUUAAACAACUAACCUAGAAAACAUUACAAACAUAAUGUAAGAGAUUAGGUGGUCUCUAGAAAUGCCAAAUUAGAUGAUGCUCAAGAUGAAAACAGAUUAUCCAAAACCCCAAAUGCACAGAUGUGAAUGGCCAUUUCUAACUUCCAAUCAAUCACUUAGUUGCCAAAUACUUGGCUAAAGAAUGGAUGUUAAUGGUCCUAGCAAAAAGGGCACCAUGUCGCUGGAGUUAAGCAAGUUUUUGACAUGGCCACUGGAUGGUUGUGAUUUGUCCUUCUUUUAGAUGGAUGAUUCGGAUUUCCGAGCCCAAGCAGGAGCACGAUCCGGUUCAUAAUGAUAGUUGUAUUAUAGUUCCUCUGCUGCGUUACAUUUGUCUUUUGUGCAAUUUUCCUUUUACAUGCUAGGACUUUUUGUGUUUCCUAACAAAGUUCAAUAAGCAUAUAUCGUGCUCCUUGUCACUAACUUUGUGGAUCGGCAUGGAACCUCGAUAAAUUAAUUUGAUAGCAACAACAGAAGUAGGCUGCUCAUGGUUUUAUUGCACCAUACUUUGCAUGUCAUGAGGUCUGGCAUGCUUUUGGUUACCGUCUUCUAAUUGAAUGCCGCCUUGAAAGUGAGCUCGUCAAAAUUUUAUGUUGUAAGGUCUAACAUCUUCUAAUUUUGUGGCUCCUCGAAAGUGAGCUCAACUAAGUUUUCUGUUGUAAGGUUUAACAUCUUCUAAUUUUGUGCCUCCUCGAGAGUUUGCUCAUCUAAAAUUCUUUUACAUGUUUGCAGCCAUCAAAGUAUGAUGAACUGAAGCCAACUGAUCCAAGCAGCAGCUUUUCACUACAAAAUGAGGAUGCAAAAUUUACCAAGGAAGCAGACUAGUUGCUCGUCUUGAUUAUCAAAACAAAUCCAUCUUUUCAUGAUGACUUCAAAAUGUGGAACCGGUAACAAUCAUUCCUCCGAGAGCUUUAUGGAUCACUAAGAUUCUAGGGUACAACUAGUGUCAAGCUCAUUGUUUCUGAGCCCCCCAAUAUUAACGACUAGUGUGCCAAAACGAAAGAGUUGUCUUCCCAGUCUGCAAAACAAGAAAACUCAAAGAUUUAGGAUAAAUGAACAAAAAGAAAGUGUAUCUUACUUACAGUUGUAGUGAUCAAUUCUUUCCAUCAAAGUAACAAAUGUGAUGAACACUUUAUAAACACAGAUGUAUCGUGUAUUGAAUAUGAUCAAAGACAACUUUGCCAGUUGGAUUGACUUUUUGUUCCAGAUCGAUGUUCUCUGUUAAAAUAAUGGUACAGAUUCCAAUCCAUCUAUAGAUAAUCUCUACAUGCAUUGCAAUGCCCUUUUUCUCGAUAUCACUCUUUGUUUAGUGGCAUGCGGCCAUCCUAUUAACUUCUU